GGGUGCGCAAGUUAAAAUGAUUUCUUUGCACAGAUCUCAUUUGUGGUGUCUUUAACCAGCAGACAUAAGCCACAACCCUUCAACCACAGAGCAAGAUGGGCACUCGAGCGGCUGCAUUCACUGCGAAGAUCAAGAAUCUGCAGGACUAUUAUCUGCGUCUUCUGCAUGGAAUACCAUUACCAUCAGAGCUGGAUAUUGCCUGCACACUGAAAUACUUCUCUUUGACACUUAUGGGCGUGCUAAAGGACGUGCCUGAGGCACCG